AUGAAUUGCCUCAGUUGGAACUGCCGGGGAGGGGGGAACACCCGGACAGUUCGUGAGCUUGCGACGAUUUGUCGGUCACGUUCCCCCACUUUUGUAUUUUUAUGUGAGACUAGACAGAAGGAAGAGAAGAUGAGGAGAUUUAGAAACAGAUUGGGUCUCAAAGGGUUUUGUGGUGUUGAUAGUGAUGGUAUGAGUGGUGGCUUGGCAUUAUAUUGGCAUGAGAAUUGUGUCAUGGAGAUCGUGAAUAAAGAUGAGAGACACAUUGAUGCACUUAUCCGAAUGCAGGUAGAAGCAGUACAAUGGCGAGCUACAUUUGUCUAUGGAGAACCUCGAGUUGAGAACAGACAUAUCAUGUGGGCAAAACUACAGAAUCUGAAAACUGUAAGCAACCUCCCAUGGUUAGUUUUGGGUGAUUUCAAUGAAGCAAUGUGGAACUUUGAGCAUAUCUCAGCGACACCGAGGGCGGAGUCACAAAUGGUGGCCUUUCGGGAUACCUUGGAAAUUUGUGAGCUGGUGGAUUUGGGCUUCAGGGGAGUACCUUUCUCUUAUGACAACAAGAGGAGUGGUUCUGCUAGCGUUAAGGUACGUCUGGAUAGAGCCAUGGCGACGAAUGCAUGGCGUAACUUGUUUGCGUUUGCUGAAGUGGAGCACAUCCCAUCGCCUUGUUCCGAUCAUGUGAUGCUUCUGUUGAAGGGCGAGGCAGACCCAGGACCUGUUGGGAGGAAGUGCAGGCGCUAUGAGAUUUUCUGGGAAAGAGAUUCGGCACUCCCAAAGGUGAUAAAAGAAGCCUGGGCUGCCGUUGGGGAGGUCCGAAAUUUGACACAGUUAAAGGACGCUCUCACAAAAACCAUGAGCUCGCUGGGAUCAUGGGGUAGGAAAUUUGGCAAUGUGACGAGGCAGUUGGCAAAAUCCCGGACUCAGCUAGAAGAGCUCAUGAACAUGAAUGCUGAUCGGGAAGAGAUUAGGAUACUGACUGACAAAAUGAAUGAACUGUUGUAUUAG
rnacentral:rRNA from 1 species